rnacentral:rRNA from 1 species
AUUGAACGCUGGCGGAAUGCUUUACACAUGCAAGUCGAACGGCAGCACGGACUUCGGUCUGGUGGCGAGUGGCGAACGGGUGAGUAAUGUAUCGGAACGUGCCCAGUCGUGGGGGAUAACGUAGUGAAAAUUACGCUAAUACCGCAUACGAUCUAUGAAUGAAAGCGGGGGAUCGCAAGACCGCGCGCGAUUGGAGCGGCCGAUAUCAGAUUAGGUAGUUGGUGGGGUAAAGGCCCACCAAGCCAACGAUCUGUAGCUGGUCUGAGAGGACGACCAGCCACACUGGAACUGAGACACGGUCCAGACUCCUACGGGAGGCAGCAGUGGGGAAUUUUGGACAAUGGGCGAAAGCCUGAUCCAGCCAUUCCGCGUGCAGGAUGAAGGCCCUCGGGUUGUAAACUGCUUUUGUACAGAACGAAAAGGUUUCUUCUAAUACUAGGAGCUCAUGACGGUACUGUAAGAAUAAGCACCGGCUAACUACGUGCUAGCCGCCGCUGUAA